GUUUUUGUAGUUGAAUAACAACAGCGGUUUUUCAGGUCGCAGGUUUUGGUUAAAACCCAAAUGAAAAUA
rnacentral:tRNA from 1 species